UUAGUGGCGAACGGGUGAGUAACACGUGGGCAAUCUGCCCUUCACUCUGGGACAAGCCCUGGAAACGGGGUCUAAUACCGGAUAACACUCUGUCCUGCAUGGGACGGGGUUAAAAGCUCCGGCGGUGAAGGAUGAGCCCGCGGCCUAUCAGCUUGUUGGUGGGGUAAUGGCCUACCAAGGCGACGACGGGUAGCCGGCCUGAGAGGGCGACCGGCCACACUGGGACUGAGACACGGCCCAGACUCCUACGGGAGGCAGCAGUGGGGAAUAUUGCACAAUGGGCGAAAGCCUGAUGCAGCGACGCCGCGUGAGGGAUGACGGCCUUCGGGUUGUAAACCUCUUUCAGCAGGGAAGAAGCGCAAGUGACGGUACCUGCAGAAGAAGCACCGGCUAACUACGUGCCAGCAGCCGCGGUAAUACGUAGGGUGCGAGCGUUGUCCGGAAUUAUUGGGCGUAAAGAGCUCGUAGGCGGCUUGUCACGUCGGAUGUGAAAGCUCGGGGCUUAACUCCGAGUCUGCAUUCGAUACGGGCUAGCUAGAGUGUGGUAGGGGAGAUCGGAAUUCCUGGUGUAGCGGUGAAAUGCGCAGAUAUCAGGAGGAACACCGGUGGCGAAGGCGGAUCUCUGGGCCAUUACUGACGCUGAGGAGCGAAAGCGUGGGGAGCGAACAGGAUUAGAUACCCUGGUAGUCCACGCCGUAAACGUUGGGAACUAGGUGUUGGCGACAUUCCACGUCGUCGGUGCCGCAGCUAACGCAUUAAGUUCCCCGCCUGG
rnacentral:rRNA from 1 species